GACGAACGCUGGCGGCGUGCUUAACACAUGCCAGUCGAACGAAGAGCGAUGGAAGCUUGCUUCUAUCAAUCUUAGUGGCGAACGGGUGAGUAACGCGUAAUCAACCUGCCCUUCAGAGGGGGACAACAGUUGGAACCGACUGCUAAUCCCGCAUACGAUUUAAUCUCGGCAUCGAGGAUAGAUGAACGGUGGCCUCUACAUGUAAGCUAUCACUGAAGGAGGGGAUUGCGUCUGAUUAGCUAGUUGGAGGGGUAACGGCCCACCAAGGCGAUGAUCAGUAGCCGGUCUGAGAGGAUGAACGGCCACAUUGGGACUGAGACACGGCCCAGACUCCUACGGGAGGCAGCAGUGGGGAAUCUUCCGCAAUGGACGAAAGUCUGACGGAGCAACGCCGCGUGAGUGAUGACGGCCUUCGGGUUGUAAAGCUCUGUUAAUCGGGACGAAAGGCCUUCUUGCGAAUAGUGAGAAGGAUUGACGGUACCGGAAUAGAAAGCCACGGCUAACUACGUG
rnacentral:rRNA from 1 species